UGCGUAAACUUGCACAAGCACUGGCAGCCACAGUCCAUUGGAUAGAAUGGGUACAAAUAAAAAUGGCCAGGUGGUGUGGUGUCUUAAAUGCCAAUGAAGACAGCAUUUCAAACAAAUGAAGGCUCUCAGUGUUAUCACCUGCAGCUGGGAGAGCCAGAGAGUGACGUCAUCAAGAUGGCGACGAGGUCGUUUCUGACUUGGCGUCCUGUCCCAGUAAGAGCUAACUAUCCGUGAACAGGACAUCACUGAGAGUCCUAGAGCACGGGGGUGAGGCUGAAGAACCCGCUGCACCACAGACACCAAGACAGACUGCAUUAGAAGUAUGUGUGCUGCCAAAGUGAGCCCUUACACAGAUUUCAGAGAACAAUUCAGUGUAACUGGCAGCUUGGGAAAGAAAAGACUUAAAAUCUCUUAAAGAUGAAGAAGACAGGAGGAGUACAGAAUCCAAAGCAUUCUUUCACUUUGGAAUAUGUUGGCAUCUUUUGAUUGUGUUUUAAAACUGGGAUUUUGGAGUAGCA